GACAGAGGGUGCAAGCGUUGUUCGGAAUUAUUGGGCGUAAAGGGCGCGUAGGCGGUUUCGUAAGUCAGGUGUGAAAUCCCGGGGCUUAACCCCGGAAGUGCGCCUGAUACUGCGAAACUUGAGUCCCGGAGAGGGUGGUGGAAUUCCCAGUGUAGAGGUGAAAUUCGUAGAUAUUGGGAGGAAUACCGGUGGCGAAGGCGACCACCUGGACGGAGACUGACGCUGAGGCGCGAAAGCGUGGGGAG
rnacentral:rRNA from 1 species